rnacentral:lncRNA from 10 species
CUUUAGCUAUGAUCCUCCAAUCCCCCCAUUCCCCACAACUCAGAGCAACCACUAACCACCCUAUUCUUUAUGGAGUUGUCUGUUUUGAACAUUUCAUAUAAAUGGAAUUAUACAAUAUGGUUUCGUGACCACAUAUUGUAUGACUGGCUUCUUUCACUGAACAUAGCAUUUUUAAGGUUCAUGUAUGUUGUAGCAUGUAUCAGUACUUCAUGUACUUUUAUUGCUGGGUAAAUUCCAUUGCAUGGAUAUGCCACAUUUUGUUUAUUCAUUCAUUGGUUGAUAGACAUUUGGGUUGCUUCCACUUUUUUGCUAUAACAAAUAAUGCUGCUGUGAACAUUUAUCUAUGAGUUUUUGUGUGGACAGUUCCUUUGGAUAUUAUUCAGGAAUAGAAUUUCUGGGUCAUGUGGUAACUAUGCUUAAUCUUUUGAGGAGCUGUCAGACUGUUUUCCAAAAUGGCUACACCAUUUUACAGUCUCAGCAGCAUUGUAUGAGGGUCCCAGCUUCUCCAUAUCCUCACCAACACUUGUUAUCUUUUUUAUUGUAACUAUCCUAGGUUUUGUGAUAAGGAUGCAAACAGAAAGCUGGAGGUCUUCAGGGACCUAGUGAAUGAAGUUGUGUCCUAUUUUGGCUUGAUUUUGGUUUUCCGUGUGCAUAGUAUGACAUGUUGCCCAUGUUUUUAUCUUUUGGGAUCUGUCACUAUCACAUUACUUUGCCAAAUGUUAGGAACCUGAUGGCCCGGCACAGUGGCUCACACCUGUAAUCCUAGCACUUUGGGAGGCCGAGGUGGGCAGAUCACGAGAUCAGGAGAUCGAGAC